GGAGCUCAGGGAGAAACUUAAAGGCAGAGACGUACCUUCUGCCACAGAGCCGGUGGCGCUCUCUCCCCCAGCUUGCCAGCAGCCUGUUUGGUUUUUCCCCCUCUCUCCUCUUCUCUGUCUGCUUCUAGCAGGCUAGGUUAGUCUCCACCCCGCACACACGGGAACUCCUGAGGGCCCCAGAAAGGGGAUGUAACUCUCACUUGGGGAUUCCCAGCUCUGGGCUCAGCCUCCAGGGGGGGCCUAGCCCAAAGACUACAACCAAGAUGGCUACCAGAGGCCUCUGACACGCCCCCUGGCCUGCAGCAGGCUUGGAGUCAAGGGUGGGGACAGAAGGAACCAGAAACCCCCAUUGGGGCCAAUUAGGGAGCUUGAAGUGGACAGGCAGUCGGCUACACUAAUGACAAGUCAGGGCUGCACAGCCCCAGCAUGUUAACAGGAGAGGGGACAGCUGAGCUUGGCUGAAAGAGAAGGAAAUUUGAAGAAAGAAAGAAAGAAAGAAAGAAAGAAAAAGAAAAACUAGGAGAGGCAGAGUGUAGCUCAGGGAGUUCCUGCUGAUGCCCCUCUCCCCCAAAAGGGAGUUUUUGCACUAUUCUGUGACUUCAGCUGUAUGGAUUAGGCAGCUCCAUCACUGCAGUGACUAGCGUCCCAAGAAAAAGAGCCUUUUUUUGGAAGCUGAGACACAGCACAGCUCAGGGAGUCCCUGCUAAAUUCCCCCAAAGUGGGCAUUUGCAUGGCUCUGAGACUCUAACCGCAUGGAUCAGCAACUCCAGCACUGCAUCCAUUGCUGAUCUGGCACUGACUAUGGAGAGCUAGGAGCAUUUGAGACCAUGGAAACCAGUGAGCCUGCUUUGGGUUUAGGAGAGGACUCUACCUCAUCAAAGAGAGAAGAAAAAGUAAGGUGACUUUUGUUUAAACUGGCCAUACUGCUGCAACCCUCCAUCCCAGGACAUGCAAAUUCAGCUGUAUCAUCUAGUUUUGGAAGAUGCAAGGGAGGGAGCUGAGGUUUGAAGGAGUUUGUGAAUGUGAGGAGAUGCAGAAUAAUCUCUGGUACAUGCUGAGCAGAAGGAAACAGAGAACAACAUGCUGCAGAUUCAGAAGGCUUUCCCAGUCAUGGAGCCUUGAAGAUGAAGACAUAACUGUAUAUGAUGGCAAUCAAAGGAAUGAAGAAGACAAAGCAGAAGAGGAGCAUUGUAUAGGCACGGACUGAUGGGGUAAAGGUCACAUAGUCCCAGGAACAAGAAGUCAACAAACCCUCAGGAACAUAAGCACCUAGGAAGAGAGAAAGGAAAAAAAAGACUAAGCCAUGAAAACUUUUUUAUUGGACAUUCUGGUGG